rnacentral:lncRNA from 1 species
GCUAAUCCAACGAGGACGUAGAGCUUUUGUGAAACAAGAAGUGCGACGUAUUAAGCAAAGUAUCAUAGGGGGUGAUCGUGAUUUUUGGAUCAGCUACUGACCUACAGGUACUACUGAAAUUGAUAUAUAUAAAAAUUAAACAAAAUUAGUUUGAAUGAGAGAGACUGAAAGAAUAGAGAGAAAGUAGCGAAAGAGAGAGAAAGUAGAUCUCCGGCGAUCGGCCGGCGCGUGAGCGUGCGUGCCGUCGCCGGAGACCGUCAUCCUUCAGAUAAAAGUCCCCGUUUGUGUUUCACUUUCGUUUCUGACGGCUUCCGCCUUGUUUGAGCUCUGGUCAGUCACCCUUGGUGGUGGUUCUGUCACUGGUGUGAAGACGCGGAGGUCUGAAGGGAGGAGAGGUGAAGCGGUUUGUGUUUUCGGUCCCGGGAGGUGGAGGCUCAGUUAGUUCCGCCGACGCCGGUUUCAGUCGCUGAGAGGCGGAAGUUACUAUAACUUCGCCGUCGUCAGUUCAAGUUCCCGGGAGGUUAAGGCUCCGUCAGUCUUACUUCGUCGGCUUCUGUGUCUCGAAGGGGUUUGGUUGCUCGAGUAUGGGCUCUGGUCAUGGAGCGGAAGAGGUUUCAUCGGGUUGUGAAUUUUAGGGUUGUAGAUUCGCCGUCGGUGGAGCUCUCCAUAGCGGGAUGAUGCUCUCCGACAGGUUCUCAGUGUGGUGAAGAAGAGAUGUGGUUUCGGUGGAGGCUCGAAGGGAUUCAGAGCUCCGGCGAACCGAGAUUUUCAGUGGUUGGGUACGGCGGCUUGGGAAGGCGGUGACGGUCGGGUCGAGGCGGAGCGACGCGUGGCGCACUGACGGUCAAGAUCUUCACACGUGGCGCGCUUCAGCUUCCUCGACGCCCGCGUUCCCAGAGUCAGUCGGUGAUGGGUUCGAGUAGGUGGGCUUGGGCCGGGGUUGCCAAUUUGGGCUUAGGGUUUGGUGUGUUUUGUUUGGUUGGCCGAUUAGUAGUAAUGUGGGCCUUUGUAUGUGGGCUUCGGCCAUUGGGCUUGGCCCGUAUCUUUUAAUAAAAUUAAAACUUGGUGGAAAAAAAAAAAAGAGAGAGAC